CAAGAAUGACACUACUCGUCAUAUAUGCGUGUUACAUACAUAUUUUUUUCUGCGAAAUUGUUAACGAUAAAAGAUUUUUUAAAAUAAUCUUCUGCUUAUGGUACGAUAAUAAUAUUUCGACACGGGCAACAUUGUUUCACUUCAGUCAGGGAAAGUAUUACUAUACUCUGUGGUCAGGGACCAGCACUCUUGUAUAAUUUUAUUUAGGUUAUACUACUUAUACAAAAUUGCUUAAUACUGAACAACUUAAGAAUUCCAGUAGGGCGACACUUUUUUUGCUAUACUUUGUAUACCAAACUUGAAUUUUUAUAUAAAUUGGCAAAAUUGUACGUCAAAAUGAAAAAAUUUAAACGUCGGAAACGUCGUAAUUGUCAAAUUCUGACUCGAACAAUUAUUUCCUAACCGCCAUAUUAUAUUGCAACCAC
rnacentral:misc_RNA from 1 species